rnacentral:rRNA from 1 species
UACAGAGGUCCCAAGCGUUGUUCGGAUUCACUGGGCGUAAAGGGUGCGUAGGUGGCCUGGAAAGUUUGAUGUGAAAGCUCGGAGCUUAACUCCGAAAUGGCAUUGAAUACUACUGGGCUUGAGGGUCGGAGGGGAGACUGGAAUUCUCGGUGUAGCAGUGAAAUGCGUAGAUAUCGAGAGGAACACCAGCGGCGAAGGCGAGUCUCUGGACGACCCCUGACACUGAGGCACGAAAGCUAGGGGAGCAAACAGG